rnacentral:rRNA from 1 species
GAUGAACGCUGGCGGCGUGCCUAAUACAUGCAAGUCGAGCGAACAGAUGAGGAGCUUGCUCCUCUGACGUUAGCGGCGGACGGGUGAGUAACACGUGGAUAACCUACCUAUAAGACUUGGAUAACUUCGGGAAACCGGAGCUAAUACCGGAUAAUAUAUUGAACCGCAUGGUUCAAUAGUGAAAGAUGGUUUUGCUGUCACUUAUAGAUGGAUCCGCGCCGCAUUAGCUAGUUGGUAAGGUAACGGCUUACCAAGGCAACGAUGCGUAGCCGACCUGAGAGGGUGAUCGGCCACACUGGAACUGAGACACGGUCCAGACUCCUACGGGAGGCAGCAGUAGGGAAUCUUCCGCAAUGGGCGAAAGCUUGACGGAGCAACGCCGCGUGAGUGAUGAAGGUCUUCGGAUCGUAAAACUCUGUUAUUAGGGAAGAACAAAUGUGUAAGUAACUAUGCACGUCUUGACGGUACCUAAUCAGAAAGCCACGGCUAACUACGUG